rnacentral:rRNA from 1 species
CCUAACACAUGCAAGUCGAACGGUAACAGGAAGCAGCUUGCUGCUUUGCUGACGAGUGGCGGACGGGUGAGUAAUGUCUGGGAAACUGCCUGAUGGAGGGGGAUAACUACUGGAAACGGUAGCUAAUACCGCAUAACGUCGCAAGACCAAAGAGGGGGACCUUCGGGCCUCUUGCCAUCGGAUGUGCCCAGAUGGGAUUAGCUAGUAGGUGGGGUAAAGGCUCACCUAGGCGACGAUCCCUAGCUGGUCUGAGAGGAUGACCAGCCACACUGGAACUGAGACACGGUCCAGACUCCUACGGGAGGCAGCAGUGGGGAAUAUUGCACAAUGGGCGCAAGCCUGAUGCAGCCAUGCCGCGUGUAUGAAGAAGGCCUUCGGGUUGUAAAGUACUUUCAGCGGGGAGGAAGGGAGUAAAGUUAAUACCUUUGCUCAUUGACGUUACCCGCAGAAGAAGCACCGGCUAACUCCGUGCCAGCAGCCGCGGUAAUACGGAGGGUGCAAGCGUUAAUCGGAAUUACUGGGCGUAAAGCGCACGCAGGCGGUUUGUUAAGUCAGAUGUGAAAUCCCCGGGCUCAACCUGGGAACUGCAUCUGAUACUGGCAAGCUUGAGUCUCGUAGAGGGGGGUAGAAUUCCAGGUGUAGCGGUGAAAUGCGUAGAGAUCUGGAGGAAUACCGGUGGCGAAGGCGGCCCCCUGGACGAAGACUGACGCUCAGGUGCGAAAGCGUGGGGAGCAAACAGGAUUAGAUACCCUGGUAGUCCACGCCGUAAACGAUGUCGACUUGGAGGUUGUGCCCUUGAGGCGUGGCUUCCGGAGCUAACGCGUUAAGUCGACCGCCUGGGGAGUACGGCCGCAAGGUUAAAACUCAAAUGAAUUGACGGGGGCCCGCACAAGCGGUGGAGCAUGUGGUUUAAUUCGAUGCAACGCGAAGAACCUUACCUGGUCUUGACAUCCACGGAAGUUUUCAGAGAUGAGAAUGUGCCUUCGGGAACCGUGAGACAGGUGCUGCAUGGCUGUCGUCAGCUCGUGUUGUGAAAUGUUGGGUUAAGUCCCGCAACGAGCGCAACCCUUAUCCUUUGUUGCCAGCGGUCCGGCCGGGAACUCAAAGGAGACUGCCAGUGAUAAACUGGAGGAAGGUGGGGAUGACGUCAAGUCAUCAUGGCCCUUACGACCAGGGCUACACACGUGCUACAAUGGCGCAUACAAAGAGAAGCGACCUCGCGAGAGCAAGCGGACCUCAUAAAGUGCGUCGUAGUCCGGAUUGGAGUCUGCAACUCGACUCCAUGAAGUCGGAAUCGCUAGUAAUCGUGGAUCAGAAUGCCACGGUGAAUACGUUCCCGGGCCUUGUACACACCGCCCGUCACACCAUGGGAGUGGGUUGCAAAAGAAGUAGGUAGCUUAACCUUCGGGAGGGCGCUUACCACUUUGUGAUUCAUGACUGGGGUGAAGUCGUAACAAGGUAACCGUAGGGGAACCUGCGGUUGGAUCACCUCCUUACCUUAAAGAAGC